rfam:Tupaia chinensis contig95927, whole genome shotgun sequence.
ACUCUAUGAUGAAUAUAAAAGGACAAGCAUAUGACUGAACUUUGAAGUGAUGUCAGCUCACUGCUGAGAAGU